GGAAAGGAUGUAGCUCAAUGGUAGAGCACGUGCUUUGCAUGCAGAAGGUCCUGGGUUCAAUUUCCAGCAUCUCCA